rnacentral:rRNA from 1 species
GUAGGGAAUCUUCCGCAAUGGACGAAAGUCUGACGGAGCAACGCCGCGUGUAUGAAGAAGGUUUUCGGAUCGUAAAGUACUGUUGUUAGAGAAGAACAAGGAUAAGAGUAACUGCUUGUCCCUUGACGGUAUCUAACCAGAAAGCCACGGCUAACUACGUGCCAGCAGCCGCGGUAAUACGUAGGUGGCAAGCGUUGUCCGGAUUUAUUGGGCGUAAAGCGCGCGCAGGCGGUCUUUUAAGUCUGAUGUGAAAGCCCCCGGCUUAACCGGGGAGGGUCAUUGGAAACUGGAAGACUGGAGUGCAGAAGAGGAGAGUGGAAUUCCACGUGUAGCGGUGAAAUGCGUAGAUAUGUGGAGGAACACCAGUGGCGAAGGCGACUCUCUGGUCUGUAACUGACGCUGAGGCGCGAAAGCGUGGGGAGCAA